CUACGGGGUGCUGCAGUGAGGAAUAUUGCACAAUGGGGGGAACCCUGAUGCAGCAACGCCGCGUGGAGGAUGACGCAUUUCGGUGUGUAAACUCCUUUUAUAUGUCAAGAAAAUGACGGUAGCAUAUGAAUAAGCACCGGCUAACUCCGUGCCAGCAGCCGCGGUAAUACGGAGGUGUGCAAGCGUUACUCGGAAUCACUGGGCGUAAAGGACGCGUAGGCGGGUUGGAAAGUCAGGUGUGAAAUCCUACAGCUUAACUGUAGAACUGCACUUGAAACUUCUAAUCUAGAGUAUGGGAGGGGGAGAUGGAAUUAGUGGUGUAGGGGUAAAAUCCGUAGAUAUCACUAGGAAUACCUAAAGCGAAGGCGAUCUCCUGGAACAUUACUGACGCUAAGGCGUGAAAGCGUGGGGAGCAAACAGGAUUAGAUACCCGCGUAGUC
rnacentral:rRNA from 1 species